rnacentral:rRNA from 1 species
UACGAAGGUCCCAAGCGUUAUCCGGAUUUAUUGGGUUUAAAGGGUGCGUAGGCGGGCUGCCGCGUCCGGGGUGAAAUCCCACGGCUCAACCGUGGAACUGCCUCGGAUACGGGCGGUCUCGAGGGGGGUAGGGGCACGCGGAACUGUGGGUGGAGCGGUGAAAUGCGUUGAUAUCCACAGGAACUCCGGUGGCGAAGGCGGCGUGCUGGACCCCAUCUGACGCUGAGGCGCGAAAGCCAGGGGAGCAAACGGG